AUACUCGCUUAGGCAGCACGUACACUAAAACUGGAACGCUACAGGGAAAUUUAGCACAGCCCCUGAGCAAGGAUGACACGCAAGUUUGUGGAGCGUUCUGUAUUUUU
ensembl:snRNA U6 U6 spliceosomal RNA